CUGACCCUGAACCUCUGGGUCAUUCCUUCAAAUUUCAGAGGCAUGAGCUCACACUCUAGCUGACAGGAAGUAAAGGGUGAUAAUGUCUGUUCUUAGCUGAAACCACAGGAAGAGGCCAAUAUGGACUUCUCUACUACUUUAUUUCCCCCGAGCCUGGUCAGCUUCUUCCAAGGAGAUUACUGGGAGGAAGCUUCUAGGAUUUCUGGUUCCAGACAUUGGAUUCCCUGCUGGUUUCCCCACCUGAUUAUUGAAAUUGAUUUCUGGAGUUGAGGAAAAAAG